AGAUAUAAAGAAAAAACACAGCAUUGACCUGUCUGUAAAGUAACAUCUUGAAUGUGUCUAUGUCAUCCAUGUUUACCACAUCACAAAAUGCUCCACAGCACAGCAGA